AACGUAGGUCCCGAGCGUUAUCCGGAUUUACUGGGCGUAAAGCGUGUUCAGGCGGUCUAGCAAGUCGGGCAUGAAAUCUCUCGGCUCAACCGGGGAGGGGUUGUCCGAUACUGCUGGGCUUGAGGGCAGCAGGAGGGUGGUGGAAUUCCGGGUGUAGUGGUGAAAUGCGUAGAGAUCCGGAGGAACCCCAGAGGCGAAGGCGGCGCCCUGGCCCGACACGUGACGCUCAGACACGACAGCAUGGGGAG
rnacentral:rRNA from 1 species